UACGUAGGGGCAAGCGUUAUCCGGAUUUACUGGGUGUAAAGGGAGCGCAGACGGAACUGCAAGUCUGAUGUGAAAGCCCGGGGCUCAACCGCGGGACUGCAUCGGAUACUGUGGAUCUGGAGUGCCGGAGGGGCAAGCGGAAUUCCUGGUGUAGCGGUGAAAUGCGUAGAUAUCAGGAGGAACACCGGCGGCGAAGGCGGCUUGCUGGACGGCAACUGACGUUGAGGCUCGAAAGCGUGGGGAGCAAACAGGAUUAGAUACCCGGGUAGU
rnacentral:rRNA from 1 species